ensembl:lncRNA
AUGGAUAAAGGUCAUAAACCGAAGAAAAGCUCGUCAAAAGGCGUGAGAGAUGCAAAGGCAUACAGGGAAGGACUUGGACCGGGCGAAAAAGCACGAUAUUUGAGGAAGUUAGAUUUGAUUGGUGGUGCAGAUCCCUACGAGUUGGCUCCCUCGUCUUGGAUCAAUGACGACCCGGAGAGUCUUCCGUCUGUUUGUUAUCCUGACAUCGUCAACUACCUGGUUUUCUCGCCAAGCCCAUACACAGCGGAAGACCUUAAAGCGUACAAAAGUUUGGAGGCCUAUAACCAGAUGGUGUGUGGAUGGGUGAGGGAGAUUCAAUACCAAGUCAUCGACGACAGAUGUGUUGCGAAGGCCAAACAACUCCAGCACCAGCAGCAGCAUCAGCAGCAGCUUCUCUCAGUCUCUGCUGGGUUCUAUUCCCACGACGGCUGUAGCGUGAUGAUGUCCCAGCUUUUUCAGGAGACCUUUGCUGACCUGUCAUUCCGACAGAUGGCACCCAAUCUGGGUCAUCCUUUUGAUAAAGGUCAGACCUUGUACCUGGAAUACAAUGAGAAAUACAGCACAUUGUAGCUCUACAUUUUAAGAACUGUGUUGCUACUGUAGCAGGCUAUUAAAUAUGAUCCUAAUCAGAUAUUAAGUCAAUAAUGCAACAUAAAAACAUGUCACUUACCUGACAAGAAAUGGGCCGAACAAAUUCGGACGUUGUCCAGAUUUUUGCCACGUAGAUCCUGGUUCAGCUUCGCUAACCACAAGCGCCUCCUUUCCUCUGACAACUUUUGGCAUUGUUCUCCUUGAUUAGUUAUAACUUUUGGCAGUCUGUAAUACUCCAAAUGUUUUUCGCGGUCUGACCGAUUGGUACAGCCAAAAACAAGGCAAUAAUUUACCAUUUUCCACGAAGAUAUUCGGGCUUCGAGCACGAAGCUGCGGCGUGCGCUUUAUUUACCUUGGCGUGCGGUUUAUUUACCUUGCCGAGUACCUCCAACAUGGCGACUGCCGGAUUGAUGACGCGCUGAUGACGCGCCGUGAAAACCCUCUAUAAUAAUUUAGGUCACCAUAGCAACGCCGGUAAACAAACCCCGCCGAAUAGUCGAAUCUCUGGACUGAAAAGGCAGAUCUGAUUCGACUCAGAAAAUUCAGAGUCGGGGACCCUGAAUGAUUCGGUAAACUGGCAGUUUACACAGAUUAAGAUGUUCAAAUGUAUUUAAAAAAGGUUAAGCUAAAACAUGCUUAGAUAAAGUUGUUAAAUUGUGUUGUUUAAAAACCAAAAAGAUGUUGUAAUGUUUCAGAAAUAUGUUUAAAAAAUAUGUUAAAAAUUUGUUUCAAAUGUUUCAAAAAUAUGUUACAAAUGUUUUAAAAUUAUGAUCGGAGAUGUUUGAAAUGUGUAAAAUAAUUAAAAUAGCUUUCAAAACACAGGUAUUUAGAAAAAAAAAUUGGGGGGGGGGCUCAGCUGAAUUUUUUUCUCUGAGGGGGGGCUCACUCUCUCACACUUUGAAAACCCCUGGUUUAGACUAUUGUUUAGAGAAUUUAGGCAACAAUUCUAGGUUUUGUUUUG